GGACGUUCGACAUGACUCGCGUUUUUCAGCAGAUGUGAUCAUCGAAUCUUUAGAACGCACAUUGCGCCCUCUGGUAUUCCAGGGGGCAUGCCUGUUUGAGCGUCAUUUCUCUCUCAAACCUUUGGGUUUGGUAGUGAGUGAUACUCGUCUCGGGUUAACUUGAAAGUGGCUAGCCGUUGCCAUCUGCGUGAGCAGGGCUGCGUGUCAAGUCUAUGGACUCGACUCUUGCACAUCUACGUCUUAGGUUUGCGCCAAUUCGUGGUAAGCUUGGGUCAUAGAGACUCAUAGGUGUUAUAAAGACUCGCUGGUGUUUGUCUCCUUGAGGCAUACGGCUUUAACCAAAACUCUCAAAGUUUGACCUCAAAUCAGGUAGGAGUACCCGCUGAACUUAAGCUUAUCAAUAAGCGGAGGAA
rnacentral:rRNA from 1 species